UACGGAGGGUGCGAGCGUUGUCCGGAAUUACUGGGCGUAAAGCGCGCGUAGGCGGCUUUGCAAGUCGAGUGUGAAAUCCCCAGGCUUAACCUGGGAACUGCAUUCGAGACUGCAUGGCUAGAGUAUGGGAGAGGGAAGUGGAAUUUCAGGUGUAGCGGUGAAAUGCGUAGAUAUCUGAAGGAACAUCAGUGGCGAAAGCGACUUCCUGGACCAAUACUGACGCUCAUGUGCGAAAGCGUGGGGAGCAAACAGG
rnacentral:rRNA from 1 species